GAUGAACGCUAGCGGCAGGCCUAAUACAUGCAAGUCGGACGGGAUUCAGGAGCUUGCUUCUGAUGAGAGUGGCGCACGGGUGCGUAACACGUAUGUAACCUACCUUUAUCAGGGGGAUAGCCUCUCGAAAGAGAGAUUAAGCUCGCAUAAAAUCACAGCACAGCAUUGUGUAAUGAUCAAAUAUUUAUAGGAUAAAGAUGGGCAUGCGGAACAUUAGCUAGGUGGCGGGGUAACGGCACACCAGGGCGACGAUGUUUAGGGGAUCUGAGAGGAUGGCCCCCCGCACUGGUACUGGGACACGGACCAGACUCCAACGGGAGGCAGGAGUAAGGAAGAGUGGGCAAGGGGCGGAAGCCAGAACCAGCCAGGCCGCGUGCAGGAAGACGGCCCUACGGGUUGUAAACUGCUUUUAUACGGGAAUAAACCCAGAUACAGGUACCCGGCUGAAUGUACUGUAAGAAUAAGGAUCGGCUAACUCCGUG
rnacentral:rRNA from 1 species